AGGCUGUCAAUGAAUCCUCAAGAAUAUCAGACCGGCGGGGGUUCGAAGAAGUGUGUUUGGCCAAUUCUGCAGUACCUGCUUUGUCGUUGAACAGCCCGUGACGUCACGAAACGCAGAGCCGCAGCAGCUGUCGGAUCACUUUAGCCGACUCUCUCGCGCGUUUCUCUUAAAGUGUUCGGCGUGCACCUUCUCUUUAUGGUAUUGUAUUUUACGUGUUAAUGUAGAGCCGCGGUGGUGGCGCAGGAAACUACGGGAUCAGGUGGAUGAGUUGUCAGUGGGGACGUCAGGAGCCAUAGCUACAUCACUGACCACACCAUUCUGAGGCAGUGGAUAUAUAUAUAUCAACAGGUAGCACAUGCCCUGAGUGGUGGCUGAGAUGACACGCACCCGCCAGAUCACCUCAACCAGCCUCCUUCUCUUCAGGAGGCUUUUAUUGGCACUUAUGACGAUACACACAGCUUUGGGGGGAGACAAGACAGAAAGGUGCGAUGGUCGAGACUGCAGGGUCUGCCAGUGUUUCCCCCCCAAAGGAGAGAGGGUAAGUCCAUUACAUCAUUUUGACUUUGUUGACAUUAUGGCAUCAUAGUC
rnacentral:lncRNA from 1 species